AAUUAAAGAGGGGAAACAAGAGACUCUGGGAUGGGAGGCAGACAUGGGGCUUGGGUAAGUGAAUGUGGCCAUCUGAUCGCCUUCCUCUGCUCCAGUUAGUUCAACUCACCUGGCUGGCAAUAACUAUGGGGGCAUUUGUCGUUAUUGCCAGCCAGGUGAGUUGCUCACUGGAAACAAUUCAAUGAGAAUUAAAAAAAAAAAAAAAGAGCUAGACAACCUCACAGACGGGUUCUAUACUCAGCAGGAAUUUAACCACAUUUCCAGGGAAAGGAAGCAACACACAAAAGGUCAUUCACAGAGCAUCCAGUGUGUGCCUGCCACGGAACGAGGCGCGGCGAGAUGGGGCGAUGAGAGGAGAACAAGGCUCAGUGUUAUUCACGGGAUGGCGGCGUUCAGACCAACAGACACGCGUGGAGCCGUGACAGUGUGACAAGAGAAUUCACAGAAACAGUUGCCGGUGAAGGGUUCCCUGUGAAACACAAGCUACAGGGUUUUAGGGGUGUUUGGGUUUUAGUAGCCGGUUCACCGUCACAUGGAAUAGAACCUGGCACAUAGUUGUUUAUCCAAUCGAUAUUUGCUAACAGGGACUAAAGCUUCGAGACACAGUGUGAGGCCCGUGAGGAGCCAGGGGGUUAGUGAAAACUGGAGCAGGCCGCUGUGCUGGGAAGGAUACUGCAGCUCGUUGUGGUUGGCCUUUGAUGACGUCAAUGCUGUGAACGGAAGACGCUGAAAACUUUGAAAUGAGAAUUCAUGUACUCGUAAUGAUAUUUAAUAGGGAGUCCUGAAAAAAGCUAACAACGGUCUUUUGGAGGCAUCCGGAAAUUGCAUGCAUGUACAUGUGUUGGGAUCAGAUGCAAAAUUUCCCUACUUGAUUAAAGAAUUCCUUCCUUUGGAAGAGCCAGGGACCCUGUGCAUAUUUGGAAACCAAAGCAGAGUGUGGGAAGCACAGGCUUGUUCAUGGAAAAUCAACCACAGAACACUGGGAAGGAUCUACUGAGCGCCUCUAAUGAUCAUCCUCAAUCUCGCUACUUCUGGGAUGGAGGAGCUUUUCGUGCUGAUUCAGUGGCCAUCACCUACCAAGCCACACCAGUCUAGAGAACAGGGAUGCACGCUCUAGCUGAGAGCCAAGAAAACUGAGUCAUAGACUCUUUUAGAAGUAGACAAGAGACAGUCUGAGACCCAAAGAAUUCAACCCGUGGCCCAGAAUAGAAGCUGAGCACCCUGCUGUUGAGAGGGACCUGCAAGAGAUUUAAUCUCCCUUCUUCCAGAGGAAGCUGAAGACCUGAGCGGGAAGUGCCUUCCAGAAGAACAAAGAGAUAACAGGAGCUCCUCUGAUAUCAGCUGUGUUUUUGGAACAAUUCAGUGACCUGGGGAGAAGCCGCCAACCCAGCAAGUAAAACACAGAGUGUGACAAAGGACAGACACUUGGUCAAACAAUCUCCCUGGCUCAAGAACCUCUUGAAACCUUAUCUGAAGUUCAUGGAUUUUUCUCCCAGAGAGAAUGUGGCUCAGUGACAGCUCCAGCCAGAACCUAAAUAGAAGGCUCAGUGACCCUGGUAAACAUUUCUAUUCCGUGGCAGGAUUAGAAAGUCCUGCAAAGACUGUUUGCCUCUGUGUGUCGCAAGAUCGAGCUGUGGCUUCUGUCCUGACUGCCCUUGUAUCUGGAGUUAACAUAUCAAUGUGGUCGAGUGCAAGCGUGGAAUUCAUAACUAGAGGCUCAUGGGACUGAGGGUCACACACUCUGCAUUCCCCAUCUCCGAUGGCGGCAACCACAUUGCUGUAAGCUAUUGUUAUGUGGGCCACCGGCGUGUGGUUCCAUGCCGUCAGUUUGCUUUCUUUUUACUCCAUUGAGUAGACACUUAUGGACUGAAUUCUGUCUGGACUACAACAUGAAGGAUGUCCAAAAUUACUAUUCUGUGACAUGAGCUAAGAGGCAUGGCCCCCUGCCUCUGGAGAAGUGAAAUUUAGUAGAAGAAUAAUAGAAAUGCUCAAAUGUGUGUGCUAAGGUAACUGCCUUGAAAGAUAGGCCCCCUUGGGCUUUAAGAGGGAAAACAAAUAUCUCCAGCUGAGAGGGUCCAGAAAAUGUGUGGGAGCUAGAGACAUAGUUCAUAGUUGUAGAGCACUUGCCCAGCUUGUGAAAGGCCCUGAGAUUGAUACCCUUGUACCACCAAAAAAAAAGAAAAAGGAAGAGAAAGAAAGAAAACACCCAAGAAGAAAGAGAUUAUCCUUAGAACCAACGAACAGCAGAUUGCUAUUCUGAAGUCCCCAGGAGAAGAAGUCUGCGGAGGCCUGUUGGAGUACAGAGUGAUGAAGGACAGAGAGCGUUGUCUACAUGGGGUCUCUAGACCAUCCAACUGACCCUCACCUUUAACCACCAGAUGGGCAUGUGAGGUCAUUUGGCAGCUGUGAGCUUCAGUGAAUCUCUGACCAUUGUCAGCACUCAGCUGACUUUAAGCUAACCCACCAAAGGACCAUUCCACCAGUCCCAGGUCAACCUCCCAACUAUAGCAUUUUGAACAAGCAGCACGAUGCUGUGUAGCUAUAAUGGGCUGGAGGGAUUCAUCACACAGUGGAAGAGAACUUGUGGAGACAGACUUGUGAAAGAAGUGUUUGGGGAGAGUGAGGGAGUCUGAUAUUUGUGAGUGGACAUUUGUAUUAUGACAAUUUGAUGGGUUCUUGGAGUCUUAAAAGUCUCCUGGUCUUUGUCCUGAGCUUUUCCUACUACACCCUUAACCAGAAGAGCAAUUACCACCUCUACACUAGCAUCCGAGGAAGUGAGAAACUUGGUACCUUUCAAGACUGAUCAGGCCAUUUGGGAUUACACUUGCAAAGUUAUCCCUGGUCUUACCAUGGGAAUCUAAUCUUGGGAGGAAGAGUCAAACGUGGUAAAUAUGAUAUGUGUGUGUAAUAUGUAUGUAUGAGUGUGUGUGUCUCUAUAAAUUCCCAUGGGAAUGUAACCUUGGGAGAAAGAGUCAAAUGUAGUAAACAUGUGUGUGUGUGUGUGUGUGUGUGUGUGUGUGUGUGUGUGUCUACAAAUUUCCAUGGGAAUUUAACCUCGGGGGAAAGAUUCAAACAUAAUAAACAUGCUGUGUGUGUGUGUGAAUACAUGUGUGUGUACAAAUUCCCAUUAAGAGGUCACAUUAACGGAGAAUGUAGACUGACCAGGAAAUAGUCUUAGAAAAGUCUUAACAAGGGAGACUAUCUAACAUGAUGCGAUCACACACACACUGAGCACAUGCUUUGGGAGCACCAAGUAGAAGGAAUCAAUGCCAAACUACAGGUUGUUCUUUGUUUUUAGAUUUAAAAAGAAUCUUGAGCUUAAAAACACAUCACUCUAAUAAGCCAAACUUGAAUGGCAACUAUUCAAUAUUUUUCCUUAACAUGCAGAAUCUUGAUUUUAAAAAAGAAAACCUAACAUAUACAGAAGUAUAAUAGGGGUAUUUGCUAAAAAGGAGGGGACCACCCUCACCUUCAGCGGCCAGGCCAGUGCUGACAGUCCGGUCUUGCUACUCUAGUCUGUGACUUUAAAUUUCAUUCAAAGAGCCUGGGUAGAAGCAGAUGAAGAGUACCAGACCCCAGACAAGAACCUGGGCCUGGAGAAAGAGGAGGUAGAUUGUAGCAGGCUGCCGCAUGAGUAGUACAUUGAAAAGACUCUUGAAAGCCAUGCCUGUGAAUUGACCCAGCUGGCAGAUGGAAGAUUUCAGUUGACUCCAGAUAGAUGUGCUGGGAGGUUGAUGCUUCAGUCCUGGCCCACAUCAUGUGGCCUUAAAAAAUAAAUGAUGAAUAUCCAGAAGGGGUAGCUCAUGCAGGUAAAUCUCUGUGAGUUCCAGGACCAUGAGAGCUACACAGUAAGACCCUGUCUCAACCAAUCAAUCAAUCAGCCAGCAAAUGAGAUGCUGAUGCUGAUUCAUCCUCAUUCCAGUGGGGCAUCUUUAUCUCUGUUUUAUUUUCUCCUAAUGAUCACAUGAUGACUGUGCCUCAGGCACACAUCACAAUUUAGUGCCCAGAGAGGUUGUAUGAAUUUCCCAGGGCCACACAGCCUGUGAAUAGGAAACCUAGAUCAAAUUCACACGUCUUGACUUCCAACUCUGGUCAAAUAAUUAGAAUCAGAAAAUUCUAUAGAUGGUCAGAGUUGGAAAAAAUAGCCAAGGACCUUAAACGUGUACACCUUCUAUUUCUUAGGUAGGGAAGCUGAAUCCUGCUCAAAGUCACAUCAUGAUGGCCCAGGUGUGCCGAUCUUCCCAGGACAGUGGUGUCGCUUUGUUUUUGUUUGUUUGUUUGUUUGUUUAGCUAAUCACAGGAAAACCUCUUAAUGGAGGUUGACAGUACCCUAGGAAGGUCCUGCCUCUGUGCAAAGGGCAGAAAUCAUAAAGAACAAGGGGGCCUGAGAGUCUGUGGGUAGCACUGGUGCCAGGAAGGAUAGUGAACAGAAAAGAUCAGCAUUUGCAGAAAGAGAAGAAAGGACUGACAGGGAAGGGAGGGGCUGGCCCCGAGCCUGGGGAUUGGCAUCCAGGCAUCCCGCAGGUGGGAACCAGCAGUGCCCCACUCUCAACUGGAGCUGGCUGCAGUGGGGCAGCAAGGGAGCUCCUGGUACUGUAGCUGGGGAGGGGCGCCAGGGUGGAUUUACAGUCUCUCUAGCUGUGAAUGAAUGAAUGGCUUGGGCUUCUCCAUCUCACCUCUUCGAGGAUUGGGGGCUGCUCAUUCACAUGCAAAUCCCUUUAGUGUUGGGAGCCUGGGCCCCACAACUCAGGGCAGGAAAAUAGCUUGGGGACAGGAAAAAAAACAAAGGGUGGUUGUGUUCCCUAGCAGGGCUGCCAGACUCAAGGUAUGUCACAGUCUGGACUGAGAGGAGACAGUGAUCAGCCCAGGAAUGUGUGAGCUAUUGUGUGCACUGCCACAGCUCUGAACCCUGUCCUCCCAAACCUCAUCCUUAUAUCCUCAGAUCUUUGCAUAGAAAUCCUCAGGGGUGCUGGAGAUAUGGAGCCAGGGGCCCUGGGUCCUUGCCAUAACCCCUGUCACACUUUUGUUACUUUAAUUCUGCCAUGUUGUGUUAUGUUGAAUCUGAAAAUGCGUAUUAGCUUCCAAGACUCAGCUAUCAAAUUUUCUGGGGUUUUGCUUUUAUUUAUUACAGCAAUCCUUAAAGCUUAAGUUUUUUUAAAAAAAGAAAAAUAACCAACUAAGCAAGCCAUAUUAGAAAUAAAUGAAUUCUAUGAAAACUCAUCAUUUCUAAAUUAUUUUAGCAUUGUUCUACUAUUGUUCCUGGGGCUUUAAUGUCUUUUGAAUUCAAACAAAGAAUGAUGUACGAAGAUUCAUCUCUUGCCCAUCCUAUGCUCUCUCCUUUCCUUCUUUUCUGAAUGCACAUAUCGCUGUCUCUAGGCCUCAGCUUUCCAAGCAUACAACCUGGAGCCAGGGCAAAGGAUCAGGUGUCCAGGCGAUCAACUGUCCAAAAGAUCUGCAUCCCCUGCAGCACCUUGCAGGAGCCCUGUUCCCCAGCCUCCCUCCCUGGUCUGAUCUGUCUCAACUUGCCAUUCCCCAUCUCUAACUUCCUUCUUCAGACACACCAGCCCUUUCUCUGCCUGAGGGUCCAUGUGCUGUCCUAUCUGAGUGCCUUUUCUCCAGGAAGCACACAACUAAGACCCUCAUCGUUUCCUUUGCUCAAAUAUUCCCAACUCGGCAAGACAUCCCUGGGCGCCGUAUUCAAACCACAGCACAGGCCCCGCUUCCACAGGACCCUAUGCUGGCUCUGUCUUCUGCU